GCGAGUAAAGUGAGUUGGCACGGGCACCAUUUCGAUUGAAACGCCGCGCUGUUUCUUUUCGUGAAUUGGGUCGCUUCCCCAGCUGAACGCGUGGGUUCGAUUCCCACUACCCGCUCCA
rnacentral:tRNA from 1 species